rnacentral:rRNA from 1 species
UACGAAGGGGACUAGCGUUGUUCGGAUUUACUGGGCGUAAAGCGCGCGUAGGCGGAUCGCUAAGUCAGGGGUGAAAUCCCGGGGCUCAACCUCGGAACUGCCUUUGAUACUGCAAAUCUCGAGUCCGGAAGAGGUGAGUGGAAUUCCUAGUGUAGAGGUGAAAUUCGUAGAUAUUAGGAAGAACACCAGUGGCGAAGGCGGCUCACUGGUCCGGUACUGACGCUGAGGUGCGAAAGCGUGGGGAGCAAACAGG